AUUUUAGUUUAGAGAAGAAUUCUUUCUUUCGAACCGUCGGCACUCGUGUACCAUUGCAUAGGCCGACAUUGACUACCCCAUUCCCAUUCUUUCUCGAUGCGGAUCAAAGCCUAGUUUCGUAGCCAAGGGGCGAAGACGUGACCCAGUUCUUUGAACUCUCCCUUCCCGUUGAUUAGCAUUCAUCUUAGCUAGAAAAAAGGUAUACCCAAUUCGAAUUCUCUUUUCACGAAUCCUAGUUAGUUAGCUUCUCUUAGCUAGAAAAAAGGUAUACCCAAUUCAAAUUCUCUUUUCACGAAUCCUAGUUAGUUAGCUUGGCACUAGGAGUUGUCUAA
rnacentral:lncRNA from 1 species